CGGGGGGAGCAAGCGUUGUUCGGAUUUACUGGGCGUAAAGGGCGCGUAGGCGGCCAGCACAAGUCAGUUGUGAAAUCUCCGGGCUUAACUCGGAAAGGUCAACUGAUACUGUGCGGCUAGAGUGCAGAAGGGGCAACUGGAAUUCUCGGUGUAGCGGUGAAAUGCGUAGAUAUCGAGAGGAACACCUGCGGCGAAGGCGGGUUGCUGGGCUGACACUGACGCUGAUGCGCGAAAGCCAGGGGAGCGAACGGGAUUAGAUACCCCGGUAGUCCUGGCCUUAAACGAUGGAUGCUUGGUGUCUGGAGUUUUAUAGUCUCCGGGUGCCGUAGCUAACGCGUUAAGCAUCCCGCCUGGGGAGUACGGUCGCAAGACUG
rnacentral:rRNA from 1 species